rnacentral:rRNA from 1 species
CCUACGGGCGGCAGCAGUGGGGAAUAUUGCACAAUGGGCGCAAGCCUGAUGCAGCCAUGCCGCGUGUGUGAAGAAGGCCUUCGGGUUGUAAAGCACUUUCAGCGGGGAGGAAGGCGUUAAGGUUAAUAACCUUGUCGAUUGACGUUACCCGCAGAAGAAGCACCGGCUAACUCCGUGCCAGCAGCCGCGGUAAUACGGAGGGUGCAAGCGUUAAUCGGAAUUAUGGGCGUAAAGCGCACGCAGGCGGUCUGUCAAGUCGGAUGUGAAAUCCCCGGGCUCAACCUGGGAACUGCAGUCGAAACUGGCAGGCUAGAGUCGUGUAGAGGGGGGUAGAAUUCCAGGUGUAGCGGUGAAAUGCGUAGAGAUCUGGAGGAAUACCGGUGGCGAAGGCGGCCCCCUGGACAAAGACUGACGCUCAGGUGCGAAAGCGUGGGGAGCAAACAGGAUUAGAUACCCGUGUAGUC